GGUAACCACUCAAAACGCUGAAAGUAGAAAUUUAAAAAUUUAAAAAUAUCCUUUGCAAAAGAUAAAUUCUCAUACAAUUGAACUUAAAAUUUGAAAUUGGAGUAGACAAGGAGUUUUCCCUUGCAUCAUUUAAUGGCGCGAAUAAAAAUUUGCAUUGGAAAAACAAAUAUUCCUUUUGUCAAACUUUCGAGGGGUUUCCUCAAAAGUUUGGAAUCACUGUGUGUUGCAAGGUGUUACCUCCCUCACAUAAUUUAUUUGUUUUGAAAUUUAAUUUGAUUGGAUCUGACAUUAAACAUGUUAGCGUUAGUUGCAUUUCUCUCUUAACUCUUCACCAUUCAUCUACUAAAAAUAUAAGAAAAGUAAUACCUCAUAUAAUUACAUUCUAAUCUUAAUCAAAUCAAUAGAUUAACCAGAUUUUAAGGACAUAAUGGUCAUUAGGUGUUUUAAAUAUUUAAACUAAAUUAAUCAAAAUAAUAAAAUACAAUAAUAGUCAAUAAUUAGGAAGUUUGAAACAUCACAUUUAAUGAGGCCAAUAACAACAAUAAUAGUCAAUAAUUAGGAAGUUUGAAACACUCACAAAAAUAUAUAUUUCAAAUCUCCCAACUCCAAAGCAGAAGGGCGGCUAUGUAAUCAUUCAAGUUCAUGAGGCGUGCAAAACUCAUUCAAUGUAUUGAAUUUAUGGCAACCUCUAUAUUAACAACCCAUUUCAUCGCCCUUCCACAUUUCAUCGCCCUUCCUCAUCAAUAUUCCAUGGCUCAAUGUUAUUUAUUAUGACUACACAAAUCGAUAUUUCACAGGAAAUGUGCUUUCAAUUUUCAAUUUCAUUACUUUUUUUGCCAAUCUUUGGAUAGCUAAAUCAAUUUAAAUUGCAUAACUGAUUAUAUAAACAUCUUCUUAUUUUUCUAUUCCUCUUUUAUUCUUCAUCAAUCGAUAUCGUUCCAUUAUCAUCCAAUUUGGUCUGAUUUUAAAUCCUUGCAAAGAUCUUCAGAAUCAAAGAAUGAGAAGAAUACAGAUGGUUCCGAGCACGAAACAAAUGUCUUCCGCCAAAACAUGACUCAGAUUGGGAAAAUUGACGAAAUAUUGGUCUUGUAAAUGAAUCUUUGUCAUGGACGUUUGAGAAUGGAGGAAUGGGGCUAAAUUGGCGAUGAAAAUGGAUUUAAUCUCUUGAUUCUAAAAAAUUACAGCAAAAAUAUUGGACUUUCUCAUCGAUGCAAACAUCAGGCUUAGUGUAUGGUAAGUUGAUAACAUUCUAUAUUCACAUUAUUUACCAAAAUUCAUCACUUUUCUUCACAUUAUUGUGUGAUUGUGCAGGACCACUUAUAUAGUUUCUCGCUUAUUUUACUAACCAUUUAAUCUGCAAACACACUAGAGGAGGAGUGAAUUAUGUUGAUUAAAAAUCGAAACCAAUUUGUAAAAAUUUAUUAUUUAAAAUAACUAUUUUGAUUUUGGUAAUCACACAUAAAUAAGACAGUAGAAAUAAAGAAAGAAUAUUAAGAUGAAGAGAUAGACAACAGAAAUAACAUAAACAAUAGAGAUAAGAGAUAGAAAAGAUGCACCAUAUUUCUAAAGGUUCAGCCUAACCACUUGGUCUACUCCUGUCUAUUUUUCUUCUUCUUGGAUGUAUCUAAUUAAAAUUAAUUUGAAAUUGGUAAUUAGAUUGACAUGGACACAAGAUCCACCUAAUCAAUCAGGGAGUCUUGUUCUAAUUUUAAAAUAGGCUUAAAGAAUAUGAAUUUAUACUGAAUUUUUAAAAAAGUCGGUAUAAAAUUACAGAUUUUGAAAACAAAUCAUGAUUUUACACUUAUUUUUAAAAAAUUGGUGUAAAAUAGAUCUUGAAAACAAACUAAAUUUACAUCUAUUUUUAAUAAAUAAGUGUGAAAUAGAUUUUGAAAACAUAUUGAUUUUACACCUGUUUAAGAAAUAGGUGUAAAAUGUAUUACUUUAUUGAUUAAAAAAACAAGUGGGACCCCAAAUUACGGGGUCAGUGCAACACUUGUUAAUGGCCGACCCUGCAUGGACAUUAUAAUUCAUUUGAAAUUGGUAAUUAGGGUGGCAUGAAAAUGUUGCACAAGGAAGCAGAGGACUAGCCAUGACACCAAUGUUUUUAGGAGUUGAAUACAUGACUCGUGUAAGUUAGGAUCCAUGUUUAUUCAAAAUGAUUGAAUAGCAUAAGAUUUUUUUAAAUUUAUGGAAUUAUUGUGAAGAUUAAUUUCCAUAAUCUUAAGUUUGAUUAGAAUUGGCUUUCUAAAAAUCUCGUUAUUGAAUAUUCUACAAGAAUUGUAAUUAUAAUUUCUUUAAUUGAUUAAUUAUUAAGUGCAUCAAACAACUUUGCUUGAAGCUUUAACCAUUAUUCAUUGCAUUGUCUAUCUCAUCAUUCUGCACAUUUGAUGUCAUACUUCCCUAAUAAAUCAUAAGAAGCGGGAGAGUGUGGCUACGCUGGAAGAUGAAUAUUUGAGGAGUGCAAAUAGAAGAUGAAUCAUUACCCUUGAGGGAAACGUGUACGUUUAUUUUACAUUUUAUAUUUGAGUGUAGUCAUUGUCAUUUUUUUUAAUUAAUACUUGUCAGAAUUGGAUCGAACUCUAUUAUGUCGAAGGGUAGUUUCUGAUUUGACAGAGAAUAUGAAUGAGGUCGAAGCUUGUUCGCAUGCUGGUGUCGAAGACUUACAUACUGUAGUCAAAAUGUGUUCUAGUAUGUGGGUGUUGAAAUGCUAGGGUUGUUAGUAUUUUGAAUUGAGAUUGUUUGUUAUAUCCAAUUGUUUAAGUUAGAUUGUACCCUAAGUUAGCUUGUAAUGAGUAUUUGUGAAAAAGCCCAUUAGUUCAGUAUGUUAGGUUUAUUACAAAUAGCAUACUAGUCUCUCAUCAUUGUACACUACAAAUCCUAAUUUAGGGUGAGAGGGUUAUUUGUAGGGGUGGCAAAACAGGCCUGGCCCGUUGGGCAUGCCCGUUUUGCCUGCACUUUAGUGUGAGGCGGGCCAAGGAUUUAGGCCCUCAUCCUCUAGUGUGUCUGCAUCACCCUAUCCAAUUUUCUUCGCGGACAUGGUCAUUUAUAUAAACUUUUAUGUUUUUAGGCUUAAAAGGUGCAGUGCCCGCGGGCUUUUCUUGCCUCGCCCUUACUUUUUUGUACGGUGGGCCUAGAUUUUAGGCUCGCAUCCACCACUAUGCCCGCCUCGUCCCACUCCAUUUUUUGCGGGCUUUUGCGGGACGGGCAUACCUGUUUGCCACCUCUAGUUAUUUGUUAUUCUUGUAACACUUGUAAUCUUGUUUCAAAGAGAAACUAAAGGAUUGGUAUUCUUUACUUUCUCUAUCAAUGAAGACUACAAGUGUUACAAGAGUAAUAAAUAACCUUCUCACUCAAAAUUAGGAUUUGCAGUGUGCAAUAAUGAGAGACUAGUAUGCUAUUUAUAAUAAAUCUAACAUACUAAUCUAAUGGGCUUUUUCACAAAUACUCAUUACAAGCUAACUUAAACAAUUGGAUGUUACAAAUAGGCUUAGUUCGAAAUACUAAAACUAGGGCUGUCAUUGAACCGAACCAACUCGAAAAUAGUUCGAAAUUCGGUUCAACAAUUAAAUCGUUGAACUAGGUUCAUAAAUCAAAUGAGUUGAAUAUGAGCUAAAAACUAAGUUCGUUAACUAAAUGAGCUGAAUUUGAACUAUACAUAGUUCGACUCGUUAGGCUUAUGAGUCAAAUAUAUUGUUUAUGAGAUGGAUUAUAUUGUUUUUAAGAGUAAGUUUAAAGAUUUGCUCCAAAUCUUAGUCCUAUAUUUUCUUUUAAUCAAAAAAUUUUAAUUGAUAAUUUAUAUUCUCAAUUGAGCAAAAUAUUUCUAAAAAUAAUUAUACAAAUAAAAUAAACGUCGUAUAAAUUUCAAUCUUAUAACUUAUAUUUUAUUUUUAUAUUUUAUAUUUUAAAAAAAUAUUAAUUUAAAAUGUCAAAUAUAUAAAAAGAAUAGACUUUAAAAAAAUGACUUUUAAGCCCGUGAAACAAACGAGUUGAACCUAACAAGUUGAACUGAGUUGUUCGUGAACUUCUAACGAGUCAAGUUUGAGUUGGAAAAAAAGUUUAUGACGAACUCGAACCGAUAUUUGAACUGAACUAAUUCUUAACGAGUCGAGCCGAGCUGAGGCGAGUUCGACUCGACUUAUUUCCAGCCCUACUAACAACCCUAACAUUUCGACACGCACAUACUUGAACACACUUCGACUACAGUAUAUAAGUCUUCGACAACAGCAUGCGAACAAGUUUCAACCUCAUGCAUAUUCUCUAACAAACCAGAAACUACUCUUCAACCUAAUAGAGUUCGAUCUAAUUCUAACUGUUUCUUUUUCCAUAUUGUAUGGAUAUUUCCUCUCAUUGAUUUUGCAACAAUAUUAUGUUGAGGGGGUGAAGAUUCUAUGAUAUGAAAACACAAAGGAGAAACCAAAAGAUUGCACAUGAAAAUUGGUUUCAGUGUUUAACAUUUGUUAGAUAUUUGUUAACAUUAAAUAAAAAGCUAUAAAAAGUGUUACAUACUAAACAUUAGCAAUAUUUUAUAAAAGUGAUUGGUGACACUUAAUACAUUUAAAACUAGUACAUACUAAGUAUACGUAUUGGAUAUUUUCACCACAAAAUGAAGGUAUAAUUUGCAAUACAUAUCUUCUAGAAAAUAUCAUAACAUAAAAUGGAUUCUAAUUAAUGAACCAAAAAAAAAACAAUAAUCACACUUAUUUCUGACAAUAUUAGACUUGAUAUUAAUCCAAAUAUUUUAAACACAUAAGUCUUAGUCAACCACAUAACUACAUCAUAUGGAAAUACAUAUAGAUUUUCACACACUUCAACGAUCCAUACUCGAUUCGACUGUUGGCGCUGUUGUUGUAGCCAUGGUUAUUCCUUUAGUCUGUUGCUCAACAUUUCCAUGCCACCCUAACCAUGCCAAGUUCAAUCAAAAUAAUAUUAUACUAAUGGUUUAAAUCAUAUAAUAUGGUUAACUGAUUAAUAUAUACAUACCAGUGACUAAGUUAAAUCCAUGAUUUUCAAGCUCACGGUAUUCUUGAGACAAAGCGCAAGCCUCGCAGCAGCAAUGAAUCAAGAAAUCUAAACAAUCACUUCCUUUCAAAUUGUAUUGUUGUCUUAUCUCUGAGCGGUAAAAGCAAGAAUACAAGCCACCAUGCCCACACAUACAACAAAAUAACAUAUACACAGAACCAUUCCCACAGCAAGCUGGAAAACCAUAAAAAAUAUUAAAUUACUCACAAUAAUUAGCUUUUCCAUUAAUAAAUAUGUUUAAUUUAAUCUUAAAAUGUAUUCGUCAAUUUAAAGUUUAUAAAAGUAAAAACUAAUUCUUAUAAAUACCAUAUUAUGUGUUAUAUAUAAGAGAGAAAUAACAUAGAAAACAUUAAUGAUAAUUUUACUCAAUACAACAAAGACAAAAGGCAAACAAAAUGGCAACGUUUUAAAAAAAGAAAAUAAAAAAAAGUGUAACAAACACCAACAAUAAAAAAACAAAAUAAUUCGUCCCACCUUGAGAAACUCAAAAAUCUUUUUUCGAAGGAGAUUUAAGUGACUGAGAAACCUACUUAAAAAAAUUUUCAAUGAGAAAACAAUGAUCUUAAAAGUAUUUGUAUUUCUCUAAACAUCUGCUAGGAUUUAGGUAUCCUUGAUAUUGCUUCUUCCCACUCCAAGGAACUCGUCACCAAAGAAAAAUACGCACAGCUAACAAUGAACUAGACACUAGUAUUGUGCAACCAAGAUAAAAUAUCCUCCAACUGGGACAUAUUCCUAGUCCUUAAAAUGAAAACUAGAUCAUCAACUAGGCGUUGUUCACAAAACAAAUACUCCUUUAAAUAAGGUCUCAAACUCAUAAAUUCCUUUCCCAAGUUCCCAAUAUUACACAUAAGAUUAUCCUACUAGUUUGACACUGAAAAACACCUACUCCUAUAAAAUUGUGACAUGAAAUAUACUUCCACAACCUUAUCGUAAAAAAAACUUCAUACCUCACCAUGGUCCAUGAGAAUCACUCAUAUUUAUAUUCUAGUGGUUCAACAAACAAAGAGACCUUUUUCAUUAUGACGGGAACAAGGAAUAACUUUUGUGGCGGUAACCAAUUGGGGAAUAAAAUAUUUGGCUACCAUAUCUUACAACAAGGAAAUCUCUCCACAAAAAAGGUGCACGGUAAGAAUCGUCCAUAUGCAUUUCCCAAUAAAUAUCAUGUUAUAAACAUGCAAAUUCUCAACACCUAAGACAUAAACUUUCUUUCAGCUGCAUAAAUAUAGACAUCUGACCCAGGAAAUCUUCCUCCAACCUUUUACCCUUGACCCCCCCCCCCCCCCCCAAAUAAUUCCUCUUUGAGUAUAUUUAAAGUUCUUACAAAUUUAAUUGGAAACGUCGCAAAAGAGAAAUAAAAGAUAAAGAUAUGGUUAAGGACCGAUUUAAAAUAGCCACCUUACAACUAGAUUGUAAUAUCUAUUAAAACAAAAACCAAGUGUCACCUUCAGAGUCCUAAGUAAAGGAUCUCAUGUACAUGAGUUUAGCACACUUUCCAUAUUCAAUAAACCAAAAUAUGAAAAAGGCACUAGAGAAGAGAAUGUAUCUUAGGAACAAACGAGAUAAAGUAGGAAGAAAAUAUACAAAUUAAGAUACACAAAGACUUAAUAAAGAAACAAAAACCAUAUUAACUUGGAAUUUUAUUACAAUUACAGGGAGCCACAACAUCAUCAACCUUUAAUGAUGAGAAUGAGAUUGAUUGUGUAUCUCUUUAAACUUCAAAGAAGAAGUUAGAUGAGAUACCAUUUAGCUUAGCCAAAUCUACCAUAGUCUAAAUAAAUGAAUGGAAAAGUAUCGAUUGACAUUAUACAUAGCCACAUAAGCCAUUUUCACCCAUCAAUCACAUGCUCUCAAAACCACAUAUAUUUCCUCUUACUCCUUAGCUUUCACACAGAUAUAAAUAAUAACUUUUAUUUGUGUCUCCUUCCCACCUUGCCUAUGAAUGUUGGAUUACCAAGAAAUAUUUUAUCUUUAGUAAACUCUAUAACUCAUCCAUGGCAAUAAUUUUAUAGGUUGCCUUUGAAGGUGAGAAAAAUACACAACAAUGGGGGGUUGAAUAACAUAUCUGAUAACUUUUGCUUUUCUAGAAACAACGGCUUCUGAAUCUAAUCAAUUCCAGAUUCUAAGCUAGAGUAAGCAGUAGCAACAUAAUUUAAAAUGCAGAAGCAAUAAGUAAAUCACACACAACAAUUAUCCUAGUUCCUCUAUAAUGAGAGUAGUCCAGUCCCCUUAUCACACAAGAGCUUUUCACUAUUAUCAAAACCUGAUUAUAACUUUCUUAGAUACACCAGUCAAAGACUUCCUGCUCAAUCACUCUAAAAGAGACUUCCUUGCCUAAACUCACAAUUUAGGACUUCCUUGCUCAAUCACACCUGAAAGAUACUGUAUUUCCUAAACUCAGAGUUCAAGACUUCCUUGUUCAAUCACACUUGAAAGAGACUUCCUUGCCUAAACUCACACUUCAGGACUUCCUUUCUCAAUCACACCUGAAAGACUCUUCCUUGCCUAAACUCACAGUUUAGGACUUCAUUGCUCAAACACUCAGUCUAAGACUUUUACCAAUUCUAAACAAAAUGUUUAGGAUUACAAUAAGAUGUACGUGAUAUAAAAUCACAGGUACAAAUCAUACGUGAUUCGUUGACUGCAUUGCAUUACAUAAAGGUUGUGAAAAUGAAUGUUUUAAUGGUAUUGUGCAAUUGAGUUGUUUUGGCUUACACAUAUGAGUUAUGCUAAUUGAUGUAAUUUGAAAUUUAUGAGAUAUGAUAUAUUUGUUUGAGGCUAUCCUUGCAUUUCUUUUGCACCAUUAUAUAUUUUGAGUGUAUUCUCACCCCUCUAUUGUUUGUGGUGUUCUGUGCACCUUCAUGGGGUAUAGACAAGCAGGUAGAUGAGUAGCUAUUUUAGAGCUGAAGAAUAUCGUUGAGGCUAUUCUUCUUUUAUUUGUUUUAUGCAUUUUAGAUUCCUUCCUCUGAUCUGUAACACCGGGCGAGCGAGCGUGUAUGAUUUAUUUUACUAUGAGUUGUUGUUGAGAUAGUAGAUGUUAUAACUCUUGAUAUUUUUGAGUUGUGUUGAUGUUGAAGGAAUUUGUCAUAACUGCGUUAAAUUUCAAAUAAAGAUUAUCAUGAGACUUAUUUAAUUGAUGAUCUGUGAGUUGUUGAUUAAUUCUGCUGCGAUGAGCCUAUGUAAAGUCGAGCAUGUGAUGACAUGUGUUUUGAAUUAUAAGUUUUGUUUAAAAAGUGUUACAGAACAGGUUUAUGAUGUGAUGUGUUACACCUUAAAUGUGAAUAUUUGUAUAUAUUUGAAUGAUUUAGUAUUAUUAAAUGUUGGGAUUUUAGGUGUUACAGCAGGUACCCGGGGGAUUUGGAGGAGGCUCGUCUGACUUAUCGUUGUCGCCUUUACACCCGCACCAUGUUGAUCGACAUGUCUUGGACGGAGGGGUAAAAUUCAAUUGUAUAAUUCUUUGAAAAAACAUGUUUGUUAUAAUAUUCGAAGUUUCUGACGAUGGUUUAUAUUUAUGCAUGACCAUGAUGCUUUAAAAUGUAUCAACCAUGACCAGAAGAUUAUUGGUCUGUCGCGGCCUAAUGAGUAGUGGUUUCAUGAUGCGAUCAUCUAUCUGGACUGAGAAAUUUUUGUAGGAUCGGUUAUGUUACGAUUAACCAUGGUAUGUGUAAAAGUCACUUGAGAAGCUCAUGCUAGGUUUCUAUUCUUGGAGAAGUUGUUUACACAGAAACUGCAUGUUGUCGAGCAGGUCGUUGGUGAUUAUGAGCAGGUUACGCAACAUAGUGCAUAUGCAUUAAGAGUAUACAUGUUGUACUUGUUUGCCACGUCCAUUUUUGUGGACAAGAGUGUCACUUAUAUGGAUGUAAUCUACUUGAGAUACUUCGCUGACUUGUAGCGGGUCCAUGAGUACAACUAGGGGUCGCUUGUUUGGUCUACAUGUACUCCAAGUUAACUGAAAGUUGUAUGUGGAAGACCAAAUAGAUGACAAACAACAUCACACCGUUGACGGCUUGGAUCCUCCAGCACUUCCCACGCAUAUCCAGCUUGUCAUGUGCUCUGAUCUACACUAAGGAUAUGCCACAUACUUCUGCAUUCAUCCUGCUCAAAGGGAAUCGGGUGAUGGAUCCAUACAUAAAAUAUCUUGACCGCAUAAUAGCAGAGGAUAUACACUUUCAUACAUACGUCGAUCAUUGUGAGACGACAUUGCAUUCUACUCUUGAUGGUUGGCUUGUGGUUCACGUCUGAUGUACUCUCAUCAGCCUGAGUGCGUCAUACGACAAUUGGGCUACAAGCAGUUUGUUUCUAGAUAUCCUUCUGAGACUGCUCCUGCUCCCGUUAUGACACGUAGAGAUAUGUGUGCCAUGUAAGAUGAUUACCUUAAUCAUCUGGUAUCAGAUGAGGCACAAAGUAUCAUAGCUCCUAGCGAUUGGAGUGUUGCACACAAUUACAUCCAGUGGUAUUUUAGAGUGUCACAUUCUUAUAUGACAUUGGAUGCUUCAGGAGAUCAACCUAGGUCAGCUCAUCAAGAAAUAUAUGGUGUGAAUACGAAAAUAAAUAUCCGUACUGUCUAGUGUGAAUCCGGAAAUGAAAAUUUGUAUUUUGUCUGGUGUGAAUACGGAGAUGCAUCUCCUUAUCAACAUAUGUAAAAAAAAAGUUUCAGUGAAGAAUGCAUGAGGUGUACAUGGAGUAGUUCCGAAGAUGCAUCUCUAAAAUAAAUUUUAAAAAAAAAAGGAGUAAGACUCAAGUGGGACUUAAUUUAGUGAGACUCAGAAU